rnacentral:lncRNA from 1 species
CUCUUAGCUGGUUUGGCAUGUGCAGGAAAGUGGGUCUUCUUCAGAAGGUGCUGGACAGACAAACAGUUAUUUUUCAAUGGACAUUUCCACACUUAACAAAAAAACCCCACUUUCGUUCAAAUUUUUGCCUCAGAAGUCAUUUAGCUUGAUCUUGCCUUAUUUUGCUUGCUAGAAAUAAUGACAAAAUAAGUUAUUAAUGAAAGAGACAUGGAGGCAGAAUUUCCCAUGACAGUAAAUCACUGUUACACAGCUCUCAUUGUCCAGCAGCACGCACUCAAAAUGUGACUAGUCCCGACUGCUUGGGGCUGUUGAUUUUGUGUAUGAGAAUUUCCUGUAAUAGCUUGGGGGCCUGCAUACAGCCAGUCCCUGGCAUGGCACGUUUGCCAGCAAGCCUCUUUCCAAUUUACCAAGGGAAAACCUGGGAUCCAUGGCAGACUGGGAAAGAGCUCAGAAAUUCCUCCCCAGAGCUGCAUUUCUGCGUGCGGCCAUGCAGCGGCACAGGAGACCAGGAAUCUGCGGGACGGGGUGAGCGAGAGGCAGGAGCUGCUCAGGUGCGGGGCUGGCAGCUGUUGUUUCAUCUACAAGCAGUUUGAAGCAAGCAUGACAUCUUUGGAUGAUGGACUUGAAAAGAUCCCAUUGCUGUGAAGUCCAGGUGCCCAAAGGGAAUGUUUAUGCAAAAAUAAAAUUUAGUGACAAAACA